AUGGAGGUUGCGACGGCGACGGAGGCGUCGGCGCCGGCGGCGAGCGGCGGGGCGAGCAGGCGGGGCCACCCGUUCCCCUGGCUCGACGUGGCCAUCUCGGAGCCCUACUACUUCCUCCACCUCAUCGCUUUCUUCUCCUACUUCGCGGCCCGCACCACGGCGCCCUCGGCCGAGGACGACGCCGAGCUCCACAGCCGCCUUAUCAGACGGGAGAUCCAGGCGGUGCUCGUGUUCCUGGUGCUCUUCACAGUGAAGAUUGUGAAGGAGGAACACUGGGAAACAUUCAUCGCUGAUUCAUUGCUCUACGCAAAGGGCCUCUUGUUGGUGGUCACUUUUGUUAUUGAUUAUUGGUUGACUGUCGGCUACUUACUGGGAUUUAUCGUUAUAUAUGCUAUGGCUCAACAGCCACCUUAUGAUGGCCUAGGUCAUUUAAAUCAUUUAACUCCGUUGCAAUUGGAAAGCCUGCUAACUGAAGAACCAACGACACGAUUUUGGCUGGUUGAGUUCCGGACUUCCUUUUUAACACCAUGUAUACAAGCAAGCAGUGUCAUGCCUGAACUCUCUAACUUAUACUCCAACAAGAACAUUUCUUUUGGAUUAGUUGAUCUAGGGCAUUUUCCAAAUGCUGCAGCGAGGUUUGGAAUAUCCAUGUGGGAUCAUCUUCCCACUUAUAUACUGUUUGACAAGGCGACUGAAGUUGCUCGGCUCCCAGAAAUCGGAAACGGAACAAAAGUAUUCGUGCCAAAAGUUACCAAGAAGCUUCUCUGCCAUCACUUUGAUCUUGACAGGAGACUGAUUGAAUUUCUGUCGACCUAG
rnacentral:rRNA from 1 species